rnacentral:rRNA from 1 species
GUCGAGCGAGGUUACUGCGACAGAUCCCUUCGGGGUGAAGUUGCUUUAGCCUAGCGGCGGACGGGUGAGUAACGCGUGGGUAACCUACCCUAAAGUUCGGGAUAACAGCGGGAAACCGCUGCUAAUACCGGAUGCCUUUACCGUGUGGCAUCACAAGGUAAAGAAAGGUAACGCUUUAGGAUGGGCCCGCGUCCCAUUAGCUAGUUGGUGAGGUAACAGCUCACCAAGGCGACGAUGGGUAGCCGGCCUGAGAGGGUGGACGGCCA